UGGCCCUACGGGGGGCAGCAGUGAGGAAUAUUGGUCAAUGGGCGAGAGCCUGAACCAGCCAAGUCGCGUGAAGGAUGACGGCCCUAUGGGUUGUAAACUUCUUUUGUCAGGGAGCAAUUGAGUCCACGUGUGGGCUUAGCGAGAGUACCUGAAGAAAAAGCAUCGGCUAACUCCGUGCCAGCAGCCGCGGUAAUACGGAGGAUGCGAGCGUUAUCCGGAUUUAUUGGGUUUAAAGGGUGCGUAGGCGGGCUGUUAAGUCAGCGGUCAAAUGUCGGGGCUCAACCCCGGCCUGCCGUUGAAACUGG
rnacentral:rRNA from 1 species